GUGCCCGCUUUGGCAUCACAUAAACUAAAAUUGGAAUGAUAGAGAAGAUGAGCAUGGACCCUACACAGUGAUGGCAAGCAACUUCAUGAAGCGUUCCAUGGUUUU